rnacentral:piRNA from 1 species
GCUCGCUUAGUUCUUCCCACUGAUGC